ensembl:misc_RNA Gm27365 predicted gene, 27365
GGAUGGUCUUUUUGGGAGGCAGACAGAAUUCUGCACAUAGAAUCAGCUCAUCCUAAUGUAGAGGAUGCUAAGCUGUUUGGCUCUGAUUAUUCCGAAGAUCCCACCUUUUUUUUUUUUUUAAUCUGUUAGCGUGACUGCUUGUCACAUUGUAAUAUUGUGUUCCUUGCCUUAGGACAG